rnacentral:rRNA from 1 species
UACGGAGGGUGCAAGCGUUAUCCGGAUUCACUGGGUUAAAGGGUGCGUAGGCGGCCCUGUAAGUCAGUGGUGAAAUACUCCAGCUUAACUGGAGGGGUGCCAUUGAGUACUGCAGGCUUGAGUUAAGUUGAAGUUGGCGGAAUUGACGGUGUAGCGGUGAAAUGCUUAGAUAUCGUCAAGAACACCGAAUAGUGAAGACAGCUAACUAAACUUUACUGACGCUGAGGCACGGAAAGUGUGGGGAGUCAAACAGG